GCGCACGCUGGCGGCAGGCCUAACACAUGCAAGUCGCACGGAUCCUUCGGGAUUAGUGGCGGACGGGUGAGUAACACGUGGGAACGUGCCCUUUGGUUCGGAACAACUCAGGGAAACUUGAGCUAAUACCGGAUGUGCCCUUCGGGGGAAAGAUUUAUCGCCAUUGGAGCGGCCCGCGUCUGAUUAGCUAGUUGGUGAGGUAACGGCCCACCAAGGCGACGAUCAGUAGCUGGUCUGAGAGGAUGAUCAGCCACACUGGGACUGAGACACGGCCCAGACUCCUACGGGAGGCAGCAGUGGGGAAUCUUGCGCAAUGGGCGAAAGCCUGACGCAGCCAUGCCGCGUGAAUGAUGAAGGUCUUAGGAUUGUAAAAUUCUUUCAGCGGGGACGAUAAUGACGGUACCCGCAGAAGAAGCUCCGGCUAACUUCGUG
rnacentral:rRNA from 1 species